rnacentral:rRNA from 1 species
UUUAAAUAGCCGCAGUAUUUUAACUGUACAAAGGUAGCAUAAUAAUUAGUCUUUUAAUUGAGGUCUAGAAUGAAUGGUUUAACAAAAUAAAAACUUUAUUAUUUUAAUUAUUUAAAUUUAAUUUUUUAGUUAAAAAGCUAAAAUCUUUAAUUGGGACGAUAAGACCCUAUAGAUCUUAAAUUUUUAUUUAAUUUUUUUUUUUGUUAAUUUUGAUUUUUUAUACUAAAAUUUUAAUUGGGGUGAUUUUAAAAAUUUUUAAACUUUUAAUUUUUAUUACAUUUUAUAUUUGGAUGUUUGAUCCUAAAAUUUAGAUUAUAAGAUUAAGAUACCUUAGGGAUAACAGCGUAAUAAAUUUGAAUAGUACAUAUUGUUAAGUUUGAUUACGACCUCGAUGUUGAAUUAAUAAAAUUUUUGGAGUAGAAAUUAAAAUAUUUAGGUCUGUUCGACCUUUAAUUAAUUACG